rnacentral:rRNA from 1 species
UACGAAGGGGGCUAGCGUUGCUCGGAAUUACUGGGCGUAAAGAGCGCGCAGGCGGUCGUUCAAGUCGCGUGUGAAAGCCCCCGGCUCAACUGGGGAGGGUCACGCGAUACUGAUCGACUCGAAGGCAGGAGAGGGUAGUGGAAUUCCCGGUGUAGUGGUGAAAUGCGUAGAUAUCGGGAGGAACACCAGUGGCGAAGGCGACUACCUGGCCUGUUUCUUGACGCUGAGGCGCGAAAGCUAGGGAGC